rnacentral:lncRNA from 1 species
UCAUUAAGUCUAAAGAGUACAAUAAACACUCUUAAUUAUAUCUUUUGGUGGAAAAUUUCAUUUCUGGAAGCAAGAUCAUGAAGACUUCAACCUUAGUUUCGACUCUCUGCUGCUUUAUCAUUUUGUAUUCUUUCAUUCAGGUAUCCGAUGCCUUUCUCUCGGGACCUGGUAGAGGUAAUGUGGGUAAAAGGUUCCUCGAGAAGAGAAAUAUGCAAGAUACCUGCCAGUCCCUUUACGAGCGCUGUGCUACCCAACAGCAGGCACGUGACACACAGGCUGAAAAUAGUAAACUAAAGAACAGAGACCCCGAAUUUUCUCAUUAAUGAUACAAUAUUGAACUUUCUGAAAUAGCAUAGGAGAAUAUUUUCAGUGUUUCUGUUUUAAAAUGCAAUAACGUUAGUCUUAAAAGGAAUUUUAAUUGAUUGAAAAAGGGAACAUGUAUAAAUGCAGAUCAUUCAAAACUUCAUUUGGCUUGUUUAAUGGUUUGUUUCUUAAGGAAUGUGGAAAUUAAUCAAGCGUGUAAUUUGACAAUAAAUAUGUAAAUGGUA